GACGAACGCUGGCGGCGUGCCUAAUACAUGCAAGUAGAACCCAGUUGCGACCGGGUGAGUAACGCGCAGGUAACUGCCUCAUAGCGGGGGAUAAUUAAUGGACACGUUAUCUAUUACCGCAUACUGAGAGAUGGACCUGCGUUGUAUUAGCUCGUUGGUGAGGAAAAGGCUCACCAAGGCGACGAUACAUAGCCGACCUGAUAGGGUGAUCGGGCACACUGGGACUGCGACACGGUCCAGCCUCCUACGGGAGGCAGCAGUGGGGAAGAGUCGGAAAUGGACGGAAGUAUGACCGAGCAACGCCGCGUGAGUGAAGAAGGUUUUCGGAUCGUAAAGCUCUGUUGUUAGAGAAGGGGUAACUAACAAGAAAGGGAGGGCUAACUACGUGCCAGCAGCGGGGGAAAUC
rnacentral:rRNA from 1 species